UCAAGGGCCAAAUGUGGUUCAGGAAUUAGGUCAAACACGAAGUGGGGGGGUUUGUUGAAAAGGUUUGUGAAUGCAGAAAAAUUAAAUUAAAACACAGAUGCAAACAGAAAUGUAAAAACGAAAUGUAAACAAAAAUAUAAAAACAGAAUCAAAUACAGAAUAAAAACGGUUGGUCAAUAACUCAAUUACUAUGCUUCCAAUCACAGAUUAACGAAAAGUACACAUUACUCUAAUCCAAAUCCAACACGAAUCACCCAACUAAGCGAAGCCUAAUUUGGUUUUCAGAAUUGCAAACUAAGCGAAUGCAAUGCACAAAUUUAAUCAGUCAUGCACCAUACAGUCUAAUCAACUAAGCGAAGAUUAAACGCCGAUUAGGCAACUAAGCGUAUACCCAAUCGCAAGCCCACAACAGAUUAAAUAUUGAGCCAAAUUAGAGCAACUGCAUGACCAUUAAAGUGCAAGAGUCUCAUAAAUAAACUACUUUAGCCUCUAAUCUAGCACAA
rnacentral:lncRNA from 1 species